CAAGCCGAGUCGAUCGACGCUUAUGUUAGGGGUAGGGUCGGUUCCAAAAUCGCAGCCCAAAGACAUAAAGAGAAAGAAGAGGAACCCUGCUCGGUGUAGUCCUCUCUGGUCACUAGAGGCCAUUGGAAAAACUAUACUGGUGCACUGUUCGAGCUGAUCGAGAAACCCCCAUGGCCCGGCUCCACCGGGCACGGAGCAACCCCAGAUUGCCCGCCUCUUAAUCCCUAAGAAUGAAGCCUAAUGCUACCGGCUGCCCCUUCAGUGUCUGGUGGGGACUCUGACAAAUUAAUGAAAAGCUCUAUGUGCAGCUUUAGAUUUGCACGCCGUUCCCGCCCUCCCUUUCAAGUCAGAACCUUUCCGUUGAAAUGUGAAUGAAGACUAAAGAUGAUCUAGCGCAAAUAUAAUGUCUUUAAUCCUCGAUUAUACUUUAGAAAUCACGGCCACGAUAAAUACUGAGCAGAAAUCAGAACGAACUUUGGGGGCAGGUGGAAUGUGAGUAGUACAGAAAUCUUAAAUUUAGUUUUUCCGGUUUUCAAUUUGGAGCCGGUUGGGAGGACACAGGCGUGUGGAACUGAGAGUAGAUUGCAGAGAGGAACGAAUUUGUUUGAGGGAAUGGACAAAAUAGUUUUUCAGUCGCUCCUGGUUCACAACAAAUGGAAGUUACUUCAGCCCCUCUUGCCUCACUUCCGCUUUCUGAAACCCAGACUGCAUAGAGACAUUAAACUUAAAGAUUUUUAGUGUCCACUUCACAACUUGCUAUCUGACCUAUCUUCAUAUUACCAGCAUAUACUCUGGUCCUCCAUCCAAGUUGUUCAUUGUGUGAGCCAAGCCUCUAUCCACACUCAAACAUUCCUUUAGAAUCUGCUGUGUGGAAAUUUCUCAGGGUCCCUAUGCACAAGCCCCAUCUAUGCUGGAAUAAUGACAGUCUGCUCAUCAGAAAAUGCAAAGAAGGUAUGAAGGCCGAUACCUGAAAUUGUCCUAAGCAGUGGAAAUGACAAUGGAAAGUCAUCCUUGCUAACAUCUGGGGACUGAUGCUAAAAUUGGAUGAGCUAUCGCACAUACUAAUCAAGCAUCAGCCUGACAUAUUUGUAAUCAUGGACUUAUAUUUCCAUGUACCACCAUCAUCAUCCCUAAGUGUGUCCUGUGCCACCACCAGGACACAACCACCAAAGAUAGCAGUACAAUUAUGUAUAGUCAAGAAUGAGUUCCUUUGAGGGUCUUUAACAUUGAUCCUUGACCCUGCCUGUGAAUUGUUUCCUUUUAUUGAACACCACUUAGAAGAAACACUGAACAUGACAAGGAUACAGAAUGUAUUCUGGAUGGGAGACCAUGAAAGGUAACAUCUGUAUUGACUGAACUCUGAGUCCCAAAGGAUAACCACCAGACUGGGUCUGCAGCAAGUGGUGAGGAACCAACAAGACAGAAAAAAACUUACAGGGCAUUCUGGUAUAACGUAAUGGUCGUGUUCCUCUGCAACCUUGUGCUCUAGAAAUUUGUGCUAUGAAACAAACGUUAUAGAAAAUCACACUGUGGAAGAUUGCGAUUAGAAAAAAAUCACUAAACCCAUUCAGCAGAAAGUUUGCAUUAUCCAAACAGUGUUCAUAAUUUGAUUAGUGUUAUAUCAAAUUCGUGUUGAUAAAACUAGAAUGACCUGUACUUGAUGUCAUACUCACCAAUCUGCCUGUCACAGAUUUAUGUGUUCAUGAAUGUAUCAGUAAAAGCGACCAAUGUGCAAAUUCUUGCCUUCACAUUGAGAAUACCCUUCAUCAUUUUGUGUGGUGCUAUCACUAUACUAAACGGGAUAGAAUUUUCAACAGAUCUAGAAACUCAAAGUAGGAUAUCCUUAAAGUGCUGUAUGCCAUUAGAAGCAGAAUUAUGAUUCAACCACAAUCUGUAAGCUCACACCUGGCAUAUCCCUCCACUCUACCAAUAUUGAUUAUUGAUAUAUUUUUGAAGGAGAAUAGAAUCAGGAUAGCAGGACAGAGAUAAAAGUUCAAUUGUUGGGCUUUUGUUGUGCAGUGGUAAUGUCCCUACCUUCUCCAGAGGUGUGUAAUAGCAUCUCUGAACAGAUUGAUUAGAAAAUAUCUAGAAAAUCAGUUGUGACCUGGAUAGCUGAUAUCCUACUUCUGCUCUUCCAUUCAGUCAGUUAUCAAUUUUUAAUCUAAUCCAGGAAAUAAAAUGUAUUUUACUAGUGAAAAAAAUUA